rnacentral:rRNA from 1 species
AUGAACGCUGGCGGCGUGCCUAAUACAUGCAAGUCGCGCGAACAGACGAGGAGCUUGCUCCUCUGACGUUAGCGGCGGACGGGUGAGUAACACGUGGAUAACCUACCUAUAAGACUGGGAUAACUUCGGGAAACCGGAGCUAAUACCGGAUAAUAUAUUGAACCGCAUGGUUCAAUAGUGAAAGACGGUUUUGCUGUCACUUAUAGAUGGAUCCGCGCUGCAUUAGCUAGUUGGUAAGGUAACGGCUUACCAAGGCAACGAUGCGUAGCCGACCUGAGAGGGUGAUCGGCCACACUGGAACUGAGACACGGUCCAGACUCCUACGGGAGGCAGCAGUAGGGAAUCUUCCGCAAUGGGCGAAAGCCUGACGGAGCAACGCCGCGUGAGUGAUGAAGGUCUUCGGAUCGUAAAACUCUGUUAUUAGGGAAGAACAAAUGUGUAAGUAACUAUGCACGUCUUGACGGUACCUAAUCAGAAAGCCACGGCUAACUACGUG